rnacentral:rRNA from 1 species
UACGGAGGGGGUUAGCGUUGUUCGGAAUUACUGGGCGUAAAGCGCACGUAGGCGGACUAUUAAGUCGGAGGUGAAAUCCCGGGGCUCAACCCCGGAACUGCCUUGAUACUGGUAGUCUUGAGUUCGAGAGAGGUAGAGUGAAUUCCGAGUGUAGAGGUGAAAUUCGUAGAUAUUCGGAGGAACACCAGUGGCGAAGGCGGCUACUGGCUCGAUACUGACGCUGAGGUGCGAAAGUGUGGGGAGCAAACAGGAUUAGAUACCCGGGUAGUCC